AGAGUUUGAUCUGGCUCAGGAUGAACGCUAGCUACAGGCUUAACACAUGCAAGUAGAGGGGUAACGACAGCGAAAGUUGCUUUUGCUGGGCGACGACCGGCGAAUGGGUGAGUAACGCGUAUCCAACCUGCCGCAAAGUAGGGCACAGCCUUGCGAAAGUAAGAUUAAUGCCCUAUGUGCUGUGAUGAUGACAUCAGAAUUGCAGUAAAGGUUCACCGCUUUGCGAUGGGGAUGCGUCUGAUUAGGUUGUUGGCGGGGUAACGGCCCACCAAGCCCGCGAUCAGUAGGGGUUCUGAAAGGAAGGUCCCCCACAUUGGAACUGAGACACGGUCCAAACUCCUACGGGAGGCAGCAGUNAGGAAUAUUGGUCAAUGGGCGAAACCUGAACCAGCCAAGUAGCGUGCGGGAUGAAGGCCCUAUGGGUUGUAAACCGCUUUUACGGGGGGAUAAAGUGAGUGACGUGUCAUUCAUUGCAGGUACCCCGCGAAUAAGGACCGGCUAAUUCCGUGCCA
rnacentral:rRNA from 1 species